rnacentral:tRNA from 1 species
UGGGGGAUCGUCUAGCGGCAGGACUACGGACUCUGACUCCGUCAACCGUGGUUCGAAUCCACGUCCCCCAGCCA